AUCCUUUUGUAGUUCAUCAGCAUGAUGAUUGGGUUUUCACUCAGGUGUGAGAUGUGCCUCUCUCAAAUCUUGUUACAUGUUGGCACAUUACCUAUCUGGCA